rnacentral:rRNA from 1 species
UACGAAGGGGGCUAGCGUUGCUCGGAAUCACUGGGCGUAAAGCGCACGUAGGCGGAUCUUUAAGUCAGGGGUGAAAUCCCAAGGCUCAGCCUUGGAACUGCCUUUGAUACUGGGGAUCUCGAGUCCGGAAGAGGUGAGUGGAACUGCGAGUGUAGAGGUGAAAUUCGUAGAUAUUCGCAAGAACACCAGUGGCGAAGGCGGCUCACUGGUCCGGUACUGACGCUGAGGUGCGAAAGCGUGGGGAGCAAACAGG